AUUUUAUCAAGAGAGACAGAGGGAUAUGGCCCGACGAAGUCUCAGCAGCGGACUCUUUAUAGAGCACUGUGCUAAUUCCAUCAAGCUUUAGCUUGGCAGAUAAAUG
rnacentral:ncRNA from 2 species